rfam:Ricinus communis cultivar Hale ctg_1100012358790, whole genome shotgun sequence.
GUAUCCAUGGUGUGGGCAUUGCAAUUAAAAUGAUUUGAAGUGAUCCCAUGCUUCAUAAAAAGACUCGGUAUCCUUUUGAUAAAAGCUAAACAAUUCAACUCUUAAUUC